rnacentral:tRNA from 1 species
GGGGUUGUGGCUCAGCAGUAGAGCGCUUGCCUGCCAAGAGCAAGCUGCUGGGUUUGAUCCUCAGCACCA